CCCGCACAAGCGGUGGAGCAUGUGGUUUAAUUCGAUGCAACGCGAAGAACCUUACCUGGGCUUGACAUCCCUGGAAUCCCCUGGAAACAGGGGAGUGCCCUUCGGGGAGCCAGGAGACAGGUGCUGCAUGGCUGUCGUCAGCUCGUGUCGUGGGAUGUUGGGUUAAGUCCCGCAACGAGCGCAACCCCUAUCUUUAAUUGCCAUCAUUCAGUUGGGUACUUUAGAGAGACUGCCGGUGUUAAGCCGGAGGAAGGUGGGGAUGACGCCAAGUCCUCAUGGCCUUUAUGUCUAGGGCUACACACGUGCUACAAUGGGUGGUACAAUGGGUAUCUACCCCGAAAGGGGACGGAAAUCUCCUAAAACCAAUCUUAGUUCGGAUUGAGGGCUGCAACUCGCCCUCAUGAAGCUGGAAUCCGUAGUAAUCGCGUUUCAACAGAACGCGGUGAAUACGUCCCUGCUCCUU
rnacentral:rRNA from 1 species